rnacentral:rRNA from 1 species
UACGAAGGGGGCUAGCGUUGCUCGGAAUUACUGGGCGUAAAGGGCGCGUAGGCGGCUAGUUUAGUCAGAGGUGAAAGCCCAGGGCUCAACCCUGGAAUUGCCUUUGAUACUGGCUAUCUUGAGUUCGGGAGAGGUGAGUGGAACUCCGAGUGUAGAGGUGAAAUUCGUAGAUAUUCGGAAGAACACCAGUGGCGAAGGCGACUCACUGGCCCGAUACUGACGCUGAGGCGCGAAAGCGUGGGGAGCAAACAGG